CCUACGGGUGGCAGCAGUGGGGAAUAUUGCACAAUGGGGGAAACCCUGAUGCAGCGACGCCGCGUGAGUGAAGACGUAUUUCGGUAUGUAAAGCUCUAUCAGCAGGGAAGAAAAUGACGGUACCUAAUUAGGAAGCCACGUCUAACUACGUUCCAGCAGCCGCGGUAAUACGUAGGGGGCAAGCGUUAUCCGGAUUUACUGGGUGUAAAGGGAGCGUAGACGGCAGCGCAAGUCUGAAGUGAAAUGCCGGGGCUUAACCCUGGAACUGCAUUGGAAACUGUGCAGCUAGAGUGCAGGAGAGGUAAGUGGAAUUCGUGGUGUAGCGGUGAAAUGCGUAGAUAUUAGGAGGAACACCAGUUGCGAAGGCGGCUUACUGGACUGUAACUGACGUUGAGGCUCGAAAGCGUGGGGAGCAAACAGGAUUAGAUACCCUAGUAGUC
rnacentral:rRNA from 1 species